UUUUACAUACAAAUAGAGUUGCU
rnacentral:snRNA from 1 species